rnacentral:rRNA from 1 species
CCUACGGGUGGCAGCAGUGGGGAAUAUUGGGCAAUGGAGGAAACUCUGACCCAGCAACGCCGCGUGAAUGAUGAAGGUCUUCGGAUUGUAAAGCUCUUUUCUAAGGGAAGAAGAAAGUGACGGUACCUUAGGAAUAAGCCUCGGCUAACUACGUGGCAGCAGCCGCGGUAAUACGUAGGAGGCAAGCGUUAUCCGGAAUGACUGGGCGUAAGGGGGGCGUAGGUGGUUUGGUAAUUUGGUAGGGGAACUCCGAGGCUCAACAUCGGCACUACUACCGAAACUGUCGGACUUGAGUGCAGGAGGGGCAACUGGAAUUCCUGGUGUAGCGGUGGAAUGCGUAGAUAUUAGGAGGAACACCAGUGGCGAAGGCGAGUUGCUGGACUGUAACUGACGCUGAGGCACGAAAGCGUGGGGAGCAAAAAGGAUUAGAUACCCUGGUAGUC